CAGUAGCCACGGGAAUACGAAGGGUGCUAGCGUUGUUCGGAUUUACUGGGCGUAAAGCGCACGUAGGCGGACUUUUAAGUCAGGGGUGAAAUCCCGGGGCUCAACCCCGGAACUGCCUUUGAUACUGGAAGUCUUGAGUAUGGUAGAGGUGAGUGGAAUUCCGAGUGUAGAGGUGAAAUUCGUAGAUAUUCGGAGGAACACCAGUGGCGAAGGCGGCUCACUGGACCAUUACUGACGCUGAGGUGCGAAAGCGUGGGGAGCAAACAGGAUUAGAUACCCCCGUAGUCCCUGUCUCUUAUAA
rnacentral:rRNA from 1 species